rnacentral:rRNA from 1 species
UUUAAAGGUUGACCUCGAAUCAGGUAGGGAUACCCGCUGAACUUAAGCAUA